rnacentral:rRNA from 1 species
AGUGAACGCUGGCGGCGUGCCUAAUACAUGCAAGUCGAACGGAGUGGCGCACGGGGGAGUAAUAUAUAGCUAAACUGCCCUUUGCUGGAGGACAACAGUUAGAAAAGACUGCCAAUAAUCCAUAGAAAGGGAGGGGACUAUAACGUAUCAGCUAGUCGGUGGGGUAACGGCCUACCUAGGCUAUGACGCGUAACUGGUCUGAGAGGAUGAUCAGUCACAUUGGAACUGAGACACGGUCCGAGCUCCUACGGGAGGCAGCAGUAGGGAUUAAUGCGCAAUGGGGGGAGCCCUGACGCGGCCACGCCGCUUGAAGGAUGUCACUUUUCGGAGCAUAAACUCCUUUUGUUAAGGAAGCGGUACCUAACGAAUAAGCACCGGCUAACUCCGGUCCAGCAGCCGCGGUUAUAC